UUGAAAUAAGUGUUUGUCAGACCCUAGCUAAUGAGCUGCAGCGUAUUGUCUCUUUAAAGGAGCAGCAUACUUCACUUCUGUGACUGUAGAGAGGCUGGACACUGCAGGGAGAUGACCCUCGGGAACUCAGGAGUUGGGGUUCACUGUUUGUUACCGCAAAGGCAACAUUUGGUUUGGCAGCAUCCUGAAGAGUCUGCUGGCAAGGCAGACAAGCUGGUAUAUCAUGGAGUUGUCACACAGCCAAGCAAUAACAAAACUUCCAUUUGCUGAGACAGAAGUGGGAUUCAAGAGGUUUUCUACCUUCAAAGAAGCAGUCUCUUUGCAUAAACUAAGCUGCAGCUACUACAAUAUAUCAUGUGGUUUCCAUGACUCCAACUCAAUUUUGAUAUAUUCCUCUUCUUUGGCCACUAACCAAUGAAUCAUCUCGGAAACCCUGGACCUGGUUGCCAUGGACACGCUCUGACUGUGUAAUGUUACAUUUUAGUACUCAGGUGUCUACAGACUGGCAAGUUUAUUCACUGGACCUUUGGGGCCUGAUUUCUGAUCACCUUCCUAUUUGGUACCCUCAUUUUAUAGGUGAAAAUAACCGCAGACACAAAUUUUGCAUGUGAAAAUUGUGCCAUGUAGUACCUAACUACCUGAGUUAUGUGCCCAAACAGGUACUCUCCAAAUAACAUCAGUUUCCACCACAAUAAUUUAAGGCCAUUUACAACCAAAAAUCAGACACUUAUAAUAUAUUGUAUAAUAUAUUCCUAGCAAGGUCCUGCUCAUAUUCUCCCAACUAUUCCACACUUGUUGAAAGUUUCUCCAUUUUAAUCUGCAGACCUAAAAACUCCCUUACUUGAUAAGUAUCUCUAAAUUAUUUUCCAGGGAUUAGUGUCACAUUCUAAUGUCAAUUGGCACAUUAUCACAACUAAACUCUUAAUAGUAUCCCUCCACUUUUAUUGCUUUGCCUCUUUGCCAUUGGGAACCCUAAUCCAUUGCAGGUCUCUUCUUAGAUGAGAACUAUAUGAAAUGCUACAGUAUCUCUGGGGAGCUCUUUUGAUGAUGGCAGAAUAUGUGGUUUAGGUCCUUGAUGCUUUUCAAGCGGUUUCUCUCAUAUCUACCUUCUCAUCUUCUAUACUUUCAUAUUGCUCUGAUGUAUUUUGGGGCCUUCAGACUGCACAUGCCUGGGGCUUGGAUCACUUGUCUUUCCUACAUACUCACACCUCUCCACUCUUAGAAAGACCUCUGGCUCUAAGGACCACCUCAGAAUCUGUCCCCUCUGCAUUUGACUCUAACAAUAUCUACCUUUCUUCUGUUUUAUCUUAUAAUGGUUAUGCCUACCAUAACAUUCCACCAUGCCCUGUGUUGUUGACAAUGUUCCACAAAGUAGCAAAUAUUGGUGAUAUUCUGACUACUGAAAUAUUUCUCAAUAAAGGUAAUCAUUCUAAAUAUAUUCCACUUUUGCCCAAGAUCUUUGGUCAACAGUGAUGUUAAAAUUCUUAUUAAAUUAUUCAUAGAUAGGGUUAUAUCUACCCCAGAUUGCUAAUCUAAGUAUAACACAUGAGAUCAUUACAUUUUCAGAUAAACACUAAAAACAGGAAGUGGUUAAGACUCGGAAGGAAUGUGAAUGUUUAACAGCAUCAUAGAUCCCUCAAAAAGAUUGGAGGUGGAAUAUGAAAUUCAACAGACUGACUUAGUUUUCUGACUAACUCACAUUCAACUUUGGCCUACAGCACUGCUUCUAUCACAGAAGAAUUUAGCCCAUUAUAGUCCAUAUUUCAGAAGGAGACAUUAAGACUAUGGGACUGCUCGUGGCAUUAGGCAUUAUGACUUCAGUGGGCAUUAUCAGUGCCCACUGAAGUCAAUGGAAAAACUCCUAGACUUGAAUUGAGAUUGGCUCUAUGCUUGGUAAGUGUUUGAAGGAG